rnacentral:misc_RNA from 1 species
GAGGAACUUGUGGUUGUAGUGAUACAAGUUGAAUGGUAAUUGAAUAACAACUGAGCACUAACUUGAGUAUAUUGAUGAGGGUAACAAUAUUGGCUUUAGUGUUGCCACCAGAAUGUAAAUUCAUAUAAAUAACUCAUAAGGCCUUCUCCAGCCAUCUUGGCAAUCUCAAUGAAUCUUUCAUCCCAAGUCUGGCGAGGAACACAGAAUACAAGAGGUGCAGUAGAAACACAAAGAAUCCACUAUUUAGCAGUAGCAGAGUCCCAAAUAUAGCAUAUAUCACGUUCAUUGAUGGAAUUGUAUUAAUACCAAUGGUGGUAAAUAUUAAUGUCAGAGAAGCGUGAAUGUUUAUGGUGAUC